rnacentral:tRNA from 1 species
AUUCUUAUAGUUGAAAUACAACAAUGGUUUUUCAUAUCAUUAGUCAUGGUCAUAGUCCAUGUAGGAAUA